GAUGAAGAACGCAGCGAAAUGCGAUAAGUAAUGUGAAUUGCAGAAUUCCGUGAAUCAUCGAAUCUUUGAACGCACAUUGCGCCCCCUGGCAUUCCGGGGGGCAUGCCUGUCCGAGCGUCAUUUCUGCCCUCAAGCACGGCUUGUGUGUUGGGUGUGGUCCCCCCGGGGACCUGCCCGAAAGGCAGCGGCGACGUCCGUCUGGUCCUCGAGCGUAUGGGGCUCUGUCACUCGCUCGGGAAGGACCUGCGGGGGUUGGUCACCACCAUGUUUUACCACGGUUGACCUCGGAUCAGGUAGGAGUUACCCGCUGAACUUAAGCAUACAAUAAGCGGAGGA
rnacentral:misc_RNA from 1 species